ACAGUUGAAAAGCAUCAAUUCUUCAGCGCUCAGCUUUCUUUAUGGUCCAGUCCAGUGGUUAAGACUCCCCAGUUCCAAUGCAGGGGGUAAGGGUUCGGCCUCUGGUUUGGGAACUAAGAUCCCAAUGCUGCACAGUGCAACAACAACAAAAAGUAAUAAGCAUGUGAAAACAUGAUCAAUAUCAUUAAUCGCUAAGAAAAGUGCAAAUUAUACACAAGACACCAAAGCAUACUUCAGUGCAAUAGAACUCCCAUACAUUACUGAAUGCAAAAUGGUAAAACCCACUUUAAAAACUCGUAAUUUCUAUAAAGUGACAGAUGCACUUAUCAUGUGAUACAGCCCUAUAAUCUGUAGGUAUAUUGCCAAGAGGAAUUUAAAAAGCUGUGUCCACAGAAAUGCUCGGACUGUUCACAGCAACAGCAGCUUUUUUGAUUAGAGCCAAUAGCUAGGGGAAAAAAAAGAUUCUGCAUAUGCGCAUGCAUUAAUAACUUGGUAAUAGUACUAGUUUGCUAGGCCUGCCAUCAUAAAAUACCACAAACUGGCCUAAACAAUACAUAUCCUCUCAUAGUUCUGGAGGCCAGAAGUCCAAGAUCAAGAUGCUGUUAGGUGCCUCUGCGGCCUCCUUGGUUUGCAGACAGCCGCUGUCUUGUACCCUUCCUCCAGAGUCCUCUACAGGGGAUGGGCUCAGCUGCAGUGCAGGAGGCCAGUGGGGCAGGUGGGAACUCCUUUGACUGUUUUCCUUUAUUUCUGCAUUUUUUCACUUCUCUGAUUAAUCUUAUUCUUUGGCUAAGGUUUUUGCACAGACAAAAUGCAGGUAGAGGACAUGGGGCCAGUGGAGGAAGGACCAUAGGACCCUGUUCUGUUUCACAAUCCUUGAGUGUAGACCAUUGUAUUGUGUUCAGGAAUCAUUUUCCCAGGGAGUUUCUCCCUCUGGAGAGUUUACCUACGGUCUCAUGUGUGGUCGAUCUUUUUUCUUUUUUUAAUAGAAGGGAUGAGACUGCUUUUUAUUUUUAUUUUUUGGCUGUGCUAGGUGUUUGUUGCUGCGUGGGCUUUUCUCUGGUUGUGGCAAACAGGGGCUACACUCUAGUUGUGGUGUGUGGGUUUCUCACUGCUGUGGCUUAUCCUAUUGCAGAGCAUGGGCUGUAG
rnacentral:lncRNA from 1 species